AUAUUAUGCAACCUGAAAAUACUGUGCAGCUGAGCUUCAUAUAGAGUUAGAUCACUGUAACCAUGGAGAAAGCACUAUGAGGAACAGGUUUAUCACAUUGUUUUCACUAUUGCCAGUUGGAUGCAGAACUAAAUAAAAUCAGUGGGACUUUUCAGAACAAGCACUCACUAUCUGCUAUGUAUUAUGUCUUCCCUCCCACCCACAAAGGCACGCCAGGUCAGCGGACCCUGUUCUCCGGAAAAUGGUUUUGGGUGCUUUACACUGUAUGGAGCUGCCCACAGAGCAAUCAUGUUGGAAGUGAAAAAAGAGGAAGAUACAUUUCGUUUCCUCCUCAUAUUUGUCUUCCCCUUAUCUUCAUCCAGAGAUGGUAUCUUUGGUCCUCUUGUCAGAAAAAUUUUCCUAAAAUAGCCUCUGCAGCAUGAAGAGAUGGCCUUUGGAAGGGGCUGUAAAAGAACCUAAGUUUCAUACGUGAAGAAUUUCAACACAGUGAUCCAGCAGAUUAAACUCUCACACUUCUCUGUUCUUGGCCUGAAAGCUGAAAAUGAAUAAAGAAAAUGUGUAGUGAGGUGAGAUGCAAAUGUUAGAUAGUUUUAGUGCUUGUAGAACUUCCAAAUCUUGAUUUGUAAUAUCAGAAGCAGUUAAACAGUUUAACAGUUAUCUUUCUCUGCCACUAACUGGAAAAAAUAAUGUGUUGAACGUAAGUGAAUGCUCACUGCCUAUGUAUACCUGUGUAAGAAUCAAUAAAUGUUUUGCAGUUCUUCAUUCACAA